rnacentral:rRNA from 1 species
GACGAACGCUGGCGGCGUGCCUAAUACAUGCAAGUAGAACGCUGAAGCGAGGAGCUUCCUCUUCUUGGAUGAGUUGCGAACGGGUGAGUAACGCGUAGGUAACCUGCCUUGUAGCGGGGGAUAACUAUUGGAAACGAUAGCUAAUACCGCAUAACAAUGGAUGACACAUGUCCUUUAUUUGAAAGGGGCAAUUGCUCCACUACAAGAUGGACCUGCGUUGUAUUAGCUAGUAGGUGAGGUAAUGGCUCACCUAGGCGACGAUACAUAGCCGACCUGAGAGGGUGAUCGGCCACACUGGGACUGAGACACGGCCCAGACUCCUACGGGAGGCAGCAGUAGGGAAUCUUCGGCAAUGGGGGCAACCCUGACCGAGCAACGCCGCGUGAGUGAAGAAGGUUUUCGGAUCGUAAAGCUCUGUUGUAAGUCAAGAACGGGUGUGAGAGUGGAAAGUUCACACUGUGACGGUAGCUUACCAGAAAGGGACGGCUAACUACGUG